UACGUAGGGUGCGAGCGUUAAUCGGAAUUACUGGGCGUAAAGCGUGCGCAGGCGGUUCGUUAAGUUCGUUGUGAAAGCCCCGGGCUCAACCUGGGAACUGCAAUGGAAACUGGCGGGCUUGAAUGCGGCAGAGGGGGGUGGAAUUCCGCGUGUAGCAGUGAAAUGCGUAGAGAUGCGGAGGAACACCGAUGGCGAAGGCGGCAUCCUGGACCGACAUUGACGCUGAACGGCGAAAGCUAGGGGAGCAAACGGG
rnacentral:rRNA from 1 species